rnacentral:rRNA from 1 species
UACAGAGGUCUCAAGCGUUGUUCGGAUUCAUUGGGCGUAAAGGGUGCGUAGGCGGCGCGGUAAGUCGGGUGUGAAAUCUCGGAGCUUAACUCCGAAACUGCAUUCGAUACUGCCGUGCUUGAGGACUGGAGAGGAGACUGGAAUUUACGGUGUAGCGGUGAAAUGCGUAGAUAUCGUAAGGAAGACCAGUGGCGAAGGCGGCUACCUGGACAAUUGCUGACACUCAGGCACGAAAAGCGUUGGGGGAGCAAAAAGGG